rnacentral:rRNA from 1 species
UCGGGAAUUUUGGGCAAUGGGCGAAAGCCUGACCCAGCAACGCCGCGUGAAGGAUGAAGUAUUUCGGUAUGUAAACUUCGAAAGAAUAGGAAGAAUAAAUGACGGUACUAUUUAUAAGGUCCGGCCAACUACGUGCCAGCAGCCGCGGUAAUACGUAGGGACCAAGCGUUGUUCGGAUUUACUGGGCGUAAAGGGCGCGUAGGCGGCAAUUCAAGUCAUCUGUGAAAUCUCCGGGCUUAACUCGGAACGGUCAGAUGAUACUGCUUUGCUAGAGUGCAGAAGGGGCAAUCGGAAUUCUCGGUGUAGCGGUGAAAUGCGUAGAUAUACGGAGGAACACCUGCGGCGAAGGCGGGUUGCUGGGGCUAACACUGACGCUGAGGCGCGAAAGCUAGGGUAGCAAACGGGAUUAGAUACCCCCGUAGUCCCUGAGCGGGCUGGCAAGGCGCAU